AGUGAGUAAGUGGAGGGAUCUGAGGAACGCUGAAAAAGUCUAAGGUACAUUCCUUCUGCUUUCACAGUGCUGUGGGUAAAUCACUGGUAUCUGGACUCCCACCAGUGGGUUGUCAUUACAAGACUCAGGAGUAAACAGUGAGCGAGAGGGAUACUGAAGCCAACUUGCCAUGAAGUAGGGAAUCGGCAUCUGUUGCUGCUAAGGACUUUCCCCCUCCCUUCCCCUUCUAUUAUUUUCGGAGCUGAGGAAAAAAGCAAUAAUGAGUGCAUUGCAUACAGUGUUACUGGGAAUAGAGUCUCAGGGCAACAGCAAAAAGGAAAGAAGAUCUUAACAAGAUAGAGUUGGAGCAGAUGAGAAAGUCCUUUCCUUAUCCUGUGGCUCCAGCACCAAAACACUGCAAAAAAUCAUUAUGUUUCAGAGACUUGGAAGCUGCUUGUUAGAAGAGGAAAGAGGCAGCAGAGCUGGUGGCUAAGAGAGGAUAGAACCCAGCUCUAGUUAAUAGAUGCAGGACCCGGAUGGCGUUUGGCAUGGAAUUUCAAUUCAGAAAGUGCGAAAGAGACAGCUCCCUCCAGCCUCAUCUGGGAUACGUACUGCCACCAGGACACAAAGGUGUUGCUUUGAGCCUCGGCUGCAUUAGCAGAUGCUAUGCCGUAGGGCAACACCGAACAUUUGUAAUUGGAUUCUAUCACUGGAGUUAAUUAUAAAGAGACAAUAAAAACUGCUUGGCUUCUGUUUUAGUAACUAUUACUUUGUGUUGAAAUCCUUUGUUUGGGGAAGGGUAGAUAUUUGUAGUUUUAAUUUAAC